rnacentral:rRNA from 1 species
UACGUAGGGUGCGAGCGUUGUCCGGAAUUAUUGGGCGUAAAGAGCUCGUAGGCGGUCUGUCGCGUCGGUCGUGAAAACUUGGGGCUUAACCCUGAGCUUGCGGUCGAUACGGGCAUGACUGGAGUUCGGUAGGGGAGACUGGAAUUCCUGGUGUAGCGGUGAAGUGCGCAGAUAUCAGGAGGAACACCGGUGGCGAAGGCGGGUCUCUGGGCCGAUACUGACGCUGAGGAGCGAAAGCGUGGGGAGCGAACAGG